GCAGGCGGGGUCGGGCCUGGGUAGUACCUGGAUGGGACACCACCUCAAAAUACCAGGUGCUGUUUGCA
rnacentral:rRNA from 12 species